UACGGGGGGGGCAAGCGUUGUUCGGAAUUACUGGGCGUAAAGGGUUCGUAGGUGGCUUGUUAAGUCAGACGUGAAAUCCCUCGGCUCAACCGGGGAACUGCGUCUGAGACUGAUGAGCUCGAGUGCAGGAGAGGAACGCGGAAUUCCAGGUGUAGCGGUGAAAUGCGUAGAUAUCUGGAGGAACACCGGUGGCGAAGGCGGCGUUCUGGACUGCAACUGACACUGAGGAACGAAAGCUAGGGGAGCGAAUGGG
rnacentral:rRNA from 1 species